GACGAACGCUGGCGGCGUGCUUAACACAUGCAAGUCGAACGGAAAGGCCCUGCUUUUGUUGGGUGCUCGAGUGGCGAACGGGUGAGUAACACGUGAGUAACCUGCCCUUGACUUUGGGAUAACUUCAGGAAACUGGGGCUAAUACCGGAUAGGAGCUCCUGCUGCAUGGUGGGGGUUGGAAAGUUUCGGCGGUUGGGGAUGGACUCGCGGCUUAUCAGCUUGUUGGUGGGGUAGUGGCUUACCAAGGCUUUGACGGGUAGCCGGCCUGAGAGGGUGACCGGCCACAUUGGGACUGAGAGACGGCCCAGACUCCUACGGGAGGCAGCAGUGGGGAAUAUUGCACAAUGGGCGGAAGCCUGAUGCAGCAACGCCGCGUGCGGGAUGACGGCCUUCGGGUUGUAAACCGCUUUCGCCUGUGACGAAGCGUGAGUGACGGUAAUGGGUAAAGAAGCACCGGCUAACUACGUG
rnacentral:rRNA from 1 species